CAUUAAGAAGCUAUGCAACAGCACUAGCCUUUUAAGCUAGCGAAAGAGGACCACCUCCCCUCCUUAAUGA
rnacentral:tRNA from 1 species